rnacentral:rRNA from 1 species
UACGAAGGGGGCUAGCGUUGUUCGGAAUCACUGGGCGUAAAGGGCGCGUAGGCGGCCGAUCAAGUCGGAGGUGAAAGCCCAGGGCUCAACCCUGGAAUUGCCUUCGAUACUGUUUGGCUAGAGACCGGAAGAGGUAAGUGGAACUGCGAGUGUAGAGGUGAAAUUCGUAGAUAUUCGCAAGAACACCAGUGGCGAAGGCGGCUUACUGGUCCGGUUCUGACGCUGAGGCGCGAAAGCGUGGGGAGCAAACAGG